CACUUAGACCAGCAGAAUAGCACGUGGUAUGGUAUUAUUCUACUUACAUAAGGGCAGAUUUGGCUGAUACGGAUGCAUCCACACAGAAGCCCUUUGGCAGUGCAGUACUGAAGUAAAGCAUUGUUACUGUAGACAUAAGCUCAGACUAAUUGAGCUGCAUUUAAAUGAAAAAAAAAAAAUAAAAAUGGGAAAAAGGACUGUGCUACUAAAUCACCCUUAAGCCGUUGCAAACAGUGAUCAUGGAGCCUGCAGGAAUUAGGUUGAUCUGUAAAGGAUGGUACAGAAGACUGGGAUCCAGAGAGAACAGAGAAGGAGAAGGCACUUCCUCCUGAGCCAAACACAGACUGGGUGUCUUAAGGAGGUGGAGUUGCAGUGACACUUGUAUCCCUACCUAUUAUCUGGGCUGGGCUAGAAUUAAUCUCACAAGAGCGAAUUCUGAAAUGGAAUUUUGAAUAUGUUCCAUUUACAGACCAGGAAUAAACAUGGCAAGAACAGCCACUGUAGUGGCAUUUGGCCACAGGUGGCAGAAGAAGGCAUAGAAACUCAAAAAAUAAAGAAAAAAUCCUUCCUCAAACAAACAGACAAUAUUGUACAACGCAUCAUGAGGAACAAAAUCUGAUCUCACUUAGGCUCUGAUGACACUGUAGGCUUAUACUGGUAUACUAACUUAAUUAUCUGUAAUGGAAUUACUCCUGAUUUACACUGCUUUACCUGAGCUGAAAAUCCAGUUUAUGAAAUACAUGACCUGUCUCCUGCAAGCAUAUAUGCUGAAGUUUUCAGGCUUUUACAUCCAAUAAAGAAAUGGGCCUCAAUAUUGUACAUUUAGUGUAUGGUACCACUCCCUGCUGUCUGUCUCCCAUCUGAAGCCCUGUGUCAAUUAGAUCUGCCUGGUGGAAAUACGCAAGGCUUAGACCAUGAAAUUGUGGAUGUUUAAGCAGCUCUUGGAAAUACGUUAAGGAAAUCUGUCUUGAUGAUCAACUUCUCCAUCUUUGUGUUUAGUAGCCAUGCCAUAAAGGCAACACCCGCAGUGAGAAGCACCAGCUCCACAGUGGGAGGAAUGGGAAAGGUGGGGACUAUGUUUUCUCGAUGGUAUUUCAUCUGUCUUUCAUGAAGUAGCUCUGCUAGUAGCCUUAGGCAAGAGACCAUUCAGUUGUACAGUAAAAAGACUGGUGGCCAGUGUCUGAGAAGUGAGAUUUUUAUAAUGUCUUUGUCAUCAGAUGCUAACACACUUGCAAUAUAGAAGAAAUCAAUUUUAUAUGUAUCAGGAAUUAUGGCCCUGAUAAACAGUUAUUUUUCAACGAAAAAAUGGCAGUCUUGUCUGAUGCUUAGGGCCAUACAAGCACUGGCAAAUUGAUUGUGGUGUAAGAGAUUUAUAAGACCUUACAGAAGUCAGAUUGAUUUUUUUUUGUUUUUAUUGUAUCUAACAUUAGUUGAUUGCAUUUUGCAUGUUUUACAUUUACAACAAUGUCAAACUCCCUGUCUAAAUCCAAAAUGUUAUUGACUUAGCUGUGCAAAGCGGAGUCAAAAUAUUCCGUCCUAUUUCUGUAUUUCCCUACACAAUAUUCUCCCAUCUCUGUGCACAAAGAUGUAGACUGUAUGUAAAAUAAAUAAAUA